AGAUGCUGCUUGACUCGCUGAGUUACUCCAGCUUUUUGUGUUCCCACGAUCUGAAUCAAUGUCCAAUCACUGCGUUCAGGAACCUGACUGAUAGGGGAUUAGAGCAUCCUACUUUAACUUUUAAAAAGGAAGAUAAGAAUUAUAAACGUGU